rnacentral:rRNA from 1 species
UACGGAGGGUCCAAGCGUUAUCCGGAAUCAUUGGGUUUAAAGGGUCCGUAGGCGGUUUUGUAAGUCAGUGGUGAAAGCCCAUCGCUCAACGGUGGAACGGCCAUUGAUACUGCAAGACUUGAAUUAUUGUGAAGUAACUAGAAUAUGUAGUGUAGCGGUGAAAUGCUUAGAUAUGACAUAGAACACCAAUUGCGAAGGCAGCUCACUACACAAUCAUUGACGCUGAGGCACGAAAGCGUGGGGAUCAAACAGG